UUAGGGAAAUGAUGCCAAAUAUGAAAAUAUUUGCUGAAGCACCUGCCAUGCUGAGUGGUUCUCAUAUUUGCAUGUCAGUUUGACCCCGAA